ACUGGGGAUAAUUCCGGAUAGGCCACAGAUGCUGGAAUGCACUGUGGCUCAAAGCUCCGGCGCCGAAGGAUGGGUCUGCGGCCUAUCAGGGUUGUAGUGGGUGUAAUGUACCUACUAGCCUACGACGGGUACGGGUUGUGAGAGCAAGAGCCCGGAGAUGGAUUCUGAGACACGAAUCCAGGCCCUACGGGGUGCAGCAGGCGCGAAAACUUUACAAUGCGGGAAACCGUGAUAAGGGAAUCUCGAGUGCCAGCAUAUAAUGUUGGCUGUCCAGAUGCCUAAAAAGCAUCUGUUAGCAAGGGCCGGGCAAGACCGGUGCCAGCCGCCGCGGUAACACCGGCGGCCCGAGUGGUAACCGCUUUUAUUGGGUCUAAAGGGUCUGUAGUCGGCCAUGUAAGUCCCUUGGGAAAUCUGGCAGCUCAACUGUCAGGCUGCUAGGGGAUACUGCUUGGCUUGGGACCGGGAGAGGUGAGAGGUACCUUGAGGGUAGGGGUGAAAUCUUGUGAUCCUCGGGGGACCACCAGUGGCGAAGGCGUCUCACCAGAACGGGUCCGACGGUAAGGGACGAAAGCUAGGGGCACGAACCGGAUUAGAUACCCGGGUAGUCCUAGCCGUAAACGAUGCUCGCUAGGUGUCAGUCACGGUGCGACCGUGAUUGGUGCCGUAGGGAAGCCGUGAAGCGAGCCACCUGGGAAGUACGGCCGCAAGGCUGAAACUUAAAGGAAUUGGCGGGGGAGCACUACAACGGGUGGAGCCUGCGGUU
rnacentral:rRNA from 1 species